CCGGGUUUCCCCAUUCGGAGAUCUUGGGAUCAAUGCCUGCUAGCGACUCCCCCAAGCUUUUCGCAGCGUUGCCACGUCCUUCUUCGGCACUUAACGCCAAGGCAUCCACCGUACGCUCAUUCUGUCUUCCCUGUUGGAACAUCUCUUGCAUGUCUCAACCAUCUAUGGACUUCCGUCCAUAAUGCUCUUGGUUAUGUAUGCUCUUUGCUAUUCCACUGUAAAGGUACCGCACUCAUAAUGAGCGCAGCACCUUCACCCCUGAAUCGUGACAAUCAUAUAACGAUAUCUAUUUCUGCCCUACUGCAAUUGGGUAGGUGCUGAUGCCGAAGCAUCGGGCUCCCUAGAAAGGAGAUCCAGCCGCA
rnacentral:misc_RNA from 1 species